rnacentral:ncRNA from 1 species
GGCGGGUUGAUAGGGGCAAAUACAACACCUGUUACAGGAAAUAACCCCAGCCGUAUGUUAGCGGUAGUUGAGACCUGCCACCCUUUA